UCCUUCCGAAAUCUAUAAACCCAAUAGAUCCACUCGUUUCAUAAAAUCGGAAAUAGCUAUACAAUAUAAUUUUAUUACAUUCAUAGAAAUCUACUAUCCUUGAAUUACUUCCAAAAUAGCCGUCUUUGUUAUGAAAUUUUAGAUGAAAGCCGCAAUAUUGGAAUGAGUUAUAAUACAGUUAUAAUAAAGAUCUCCGCAGGUACUACCAGUAUCGAUGAUGAAUGAAACAUUAAUUCGUAAAGCAUAUAUGACUGACUGACAGGUAGUCCAAUGAAAAUAUGAGCCUAGUUAUAUUUCAUAAUCGCGUCGAUAUUGAGGCGGAGACACAGUUUAAAAACAUAAUACGAGUAGGCUUGAAUGCCCCUCCUACCAGUGUAUGUAAACGCUUAUAUCAGCGUCGAGUUAUCAGUCUGUAUCGAGAAAACCUAACUAAAGCAUUACUUUAUAUUUUACUACGCUACCGUACGCAGUCAAACACUACAAGUGUGCCUAUUGAAAAUAAAGUGUUUUAAAAAUAAAGAUAACAGUAUUGUUCAAGGAGAACAAUUGAAAUGGAGGAGCUGGACUUAGUAGUACAUAGAGAUUGUAGAAAAGGUCUAACAAUGCACGUGAAAUUAGAAAAAGAUAAAAGCAACGACAGUUCAUCUUCAGAUAUUAGAAACUCUAAAUACUCACCAUGUUAUAGAACUACUGUGAGAUUAAGUGUUAUGAUUACGGCUUUAAUUGUGAUACUCAGUUUGUGUUCUGAAACUUCAGCAAUGCCAAGCGCAUUUCUAUGUCAAAUGCGAUGUCUAAAUGGAGGAAAAAUGCACGUACCAGAUGGACCAUUUGCUUACUGUAUGUGCAAAUGCCCGCGCGGGUUUGUUGGUUUAAGAUGCGAAUUCAACAAAAUGUUCGCACCAAGACGAAUUCGACGAGUUAAUAGACUAAAAAGACUAGUAAAACUUAGAAAUGAAGUUAGAAAUGAAGUUGAAGGAUUGUUAACUGAUAAAAGAAGAAGACAUCGACAUUUUAAGAGAUGACCGAAGCCGAGAAAAUCAGUUUAAGAAAUGAAUUUAAGACGGGUUUAGCUGAAAGAACUACCGGCCACUCAAUUCCGAAUCUUCGACACACAACUCAUCCCCCCAUGGAAAUAUUGUGAAAUCCACAGACAGGACGAUAUCUUAGUGAUAUGUUUUCGUCUUUCCAUUGAUGGCAGAACAAUUUUUCAAACAAGUAGUCUUUACAAUAACGAAAGCUGAAAGGAUUAAAACAGGUCGAUAGCCGAUAUAAAAGAGAGUUACUAUGGUACUUUCCGGUAAUUAUUAGGACAAUGCGCUUCUCUCCAACCUAAAAAUGCAAAAAGGAUUGAUUCACAGCAUGUCGAUAGUUUCGUGUCCCAAAGGACUGACUUUGUAACAAAGUCUUUAGCGAGUGUUAAUUGUGUAUCGAACAGCUAGGGAGAUAUUUUUCUUCGUCACAGAAGACAGGCGUAUAGAAAUAAUUAAAUCGCUGGAGACUUAUUUGUUACAAGAAUCAAGUGGCGAUGGCUUCUUUCAAUGAAAUAGAUGUUUGUCUCAAAAUAUAUGGUUAUCUGAUUUUGUCGUAAAUGGGUCUCUUUCUACGUAGAGUUUCUGUACUUUUGUUGUAGCAUUUUUUGCAAAUGUCAAAGGGUCAAUCAAGGCCCUGUCUUGGAAAAGUUAAAUGAGUGAUCAUCAUGACUAUUUGAUCUUUUAUAACUAGGCGAUUAUUUUUUAAAUACAUGGCAGAUGAUAGACCUUUUGACAUGUGCAGUUGUAUUACUACGGUGCUUUCAUUCCGAAUGGAAGAUUCUUAUUUAUUUUAUUUAUUUAUUUAAAUUAUUUCGCCAUAUUGUCUUCAUUAUUUUGUGUUCAUUUUGUUUGAAGCAGUGAUCAGCUGAGUAACUAUUUCUUGUGUACUGUCAUUCAAAAUAGACAUAUAUUUUCAGCUGUCUAUACAUGUGUUUAACAACAAAAUGUUUUAAAAAAUUAAGCAUCGUCUACACCCAUUUAUUUUGUGAUAAGUGAAAAAUAGUAAAUUUCUGUAAUUUGAACUGAAACCUGUUACAUUUCCUUUUGUGAUUUUGAUUUUAUUUUAAGGAAAUUUGUUGAUAAAAUCUUUGACAGUCUUUGUGUAAACACUUGUAACAUGCAACAAAGUUAAUUCCUAUGAAAUUGUUGAUAUUCUUUCACAAUCUUAUUAGCCUUUCAUUUGUAUUUACGUCGCGCCAGUCAGUUUCAUUUUUCUCAUCUAUCGUCAAACUGUUAUAAAUAUAUUCAAACUGUUACAUGUUAAUAAAACCAAAGAAACCCUUGAUUUGAUAAAGUAUCUUUAAAGUAAGACGAGAAUUCAAAACUACGACAAUAGCUAUAAAAUGCAUCGUAUUAUUUCAAUAAUAUAACGUGCCAUUUUGUGUCCGAAAAAAAAAACAUUCAAAACAAAAUGUAAACAUUUGGUGUUCAGUAUUUGCUUUCCUAGACAUUGGCGAUCAAUUCAUUGACAAAUUCAUUUUUUGCGUAUUGUAGCAGUUUUUUCUGCCACCAUGUUUACUGACUGGCCGAUGGAUGUAGAUGACGUAGAUAUUAUUUUUAUAUCUAUUUUUAGUACAAUAUAGUUUUAGUAGUUAUUUUUAGAUUUUAAUUGAAUGAAUCUCAAGAGUGCCAUACAACCACAUUAGAUAUACAUCCUUUGAGGCAGUGUUUUACACCAUUAACUAGCAUUUCUGUCACGACUACCGGUAAACGAGUCUAUACAAUUAAACCUGGCGUAAAGUUUAAAUAUUUAAACAUGGUUUGGAUUAAGCAAAUAAUCCACCGGCUUUUAGUUUUUUUUUGUUACUUCGUGAUAAGCUGAUAUUGUAAAACUCAUCAGAAAACAUUUAAAUUAAUUUGCAUAAUUAGUCCCAGUCACGUCACACAGAAAAACGAUCAUAUUGAAACUGAGCAAACUUUUGCAUGUUACACGAUACUGUUUUAAUAGAUCUUAUUUCUUCACAGAAUAUUUAUUUUUUUCUUUAAUCACCCUCAUCCCUAUUUAUUCCAUUGGUCAUUUUCAUCAUUUUUUCUCAUUAUUUAAUUUUUUUCCGGUGCAAAAAUCAUUCCAUUAUUUUCUCCCAUUACAUUCCAAAUACGGAAAUUAGCAAUUUGGUCAACACGAAUUGCGCAGAUCCAACGUUGAUCGCACGUUUGCUUUCAUUAUUUCAAAAUUGCAUCGUUACGUUAUAUUUCCAUUUUUAAAUAUCAUUUUUUUUCAUCAUAAUUUUGAACUAUUUUUGAAAAGUACUCAAUGAUAUUUCGCAAUCCAAUUUUGUUUGGUGACUUAAGAUUCUGCUGGAGAUUUUCAAAUACAAUGUACCACGAGAUGCUAAAGCAGCUUUUCUUGCCUGGUCUUGUUUUUUGUUGUAUAUAUAUACAUUGUUUUUUGUUCAAAUUGUGAUAACCAUGACAGAGGAUAAACACUAUUUUAAAAAACAGAAAGAAAACAAUAAAAUAUUGAUUAUUUAA